AUGGGAAUGAGUUCAACAUCUGAUGGUCCUGCAGUGGAUACUAAUCUCUCUGCCUCGGGAGAGACCAGAAUCGUUCCUGAUUUAUCUACCAAAUGCAGACUCCCGUGGAAUAAACAACAAGAAAUGGUUUUGGCUGACAUGUAUAUUGAGCCUGGUAAAGUUUGGGAAUAUUGUCCGCGAGAAGCAUUGCGCCGAGUCUCUAAAGUUUUAAAAGAUGAAUUUGACUUGG
rnacentral:misc_RNA from 1 species